rnacentral:lncRNA from 1 species
AUUUGCAGGAGAGAAAAAUAAUUUGAAGCUAAAAUGUAGGUAGUUCCCCUGCUAAUUAACCUUAAGGGUACGUUUGGUUCGCAUUAUAAAAGAUUACUAAGAAUAAAAGAUAUUCGAGAAUCUUAUUUCUAUUAAUCCUAUUACUAAGAAUGUGGAAUUCCUGUGUUUGGUUCGUACGGUAAUAUUAAUUAGCCAUGUUAUUUAAUAUUACAAAAAAUAUACAAUUAAUUAAUUAAUUAAUUUAAUUAAUUUUAGAUAAUGUUACCAAAAGUUUCAACAUUUUUUAGAAAAAAGGGAGAGAGAGUAUAAGUUAGAGAGAGAGAGCAUAAUUAAAAAAAUAGAAAGAAAAAUAUAGUCGAAAUUAGAGAGAGUGAGAGAGUUGAAAUUUUAGAAAGAGAGAGAGAGAGAGAAAGCUUAGUUUAGAGAGAGAAAAAAAAAGUUAAAUUUUAGAGAGAAAAAUAAGUUUAGAGAGAGAUAUAAGGUUAGAGUGUAAAGAAAAAUAAUAUCAAUUAGCCGGCGGAUAGGAAGAAAGAAAGAGAUUAGACAUAUUAUGAUUACCCCAAUCCAUUAAUAUGAGGAUACCCACCCUCCCUCGAGGGAAUGAGAUUAGUACUUUGGGGUGAAUCUUAUUCCCAAGUGAAUUCAAUAUUACCAACUAGAUUACUUAGCGCGUUUAGCCAAACACCGUCAUAUUUUUUUAUUCCCAUUGGAUUACUAAGAAUCUUUAAAAGAUAGCGCGAACCUAACGCACCCUAAAAAUAUAGGUAAUUUCCCUGCUAUUUAACCUUU